rnacentral:rRNA from 1 species
UUAAAUUGAAGAGUUUGAUCAUGGCUCAGAUUGAACGCUGGCGGCAGGCCUAACACAUGCAAGUCGAACGGUAACAGAAAGCAGCUUGCUGCUUUGCUGACGAGUGGCGGACGGGUGAGUAAUGUCUGGGAAACUGCCUGAUGGAGGGGGAUAACUACUGGAAACGGUAGCUAAUACCGCAUAACGUC